AGGGUCGUCAAAGACGAUGACGUUGAUAGGACGCAGGUGUAAAGACGGUGACGUCAAAGCCGAGCGUUACUAAUUGCCCGUCCGCUUUAUUCC
rnacentral:rRNA from 1 species